rnacentral:rRNA from 1 species
GAUGAACGCUGGCGGCGUGCCUAAUACAUGCCAGUCGAGCGAACGGACGAGAAGCUUGCUUCUCUGAUGUUAGCGGCGGACGGGUGAGUAACACGUGGAUAACCUACCUAUAAGACUGGGAUAACUUCGGGAAACCGGAGCUAAUACCGGAUGAUAUUUUGAACCGCAUGGUUCAAAAGUGAAAGACGGUCUUGCUGUCACUUAUAGAUGGAUCCGCGCUGCAUUAGCUAGUUGGUAAGGUAACGGCUUACCAAGGCAACGAUGCAUAGCCGACCUGAGAGGGUGAUCGGCCACACUGGAACUGAGACACGGUCCAGACUCCUACGGGAGGCAGCAGUAGGGAAUCUUCCGCAAUGGGCGAAAGCCUGACGGAGCAACGCCGCGUGAGUGAUGAAGGUCUUCGGAUCGUAAAACUCUGUUAUUAGGGAAGAACGUAUGUGUAAGUAACUGUGCACAUCUUGACGGUACCUAAUCAGAAAGCCACGGCUAACUACGUG